CCCAACACAGAGGGAACCUGGUGUCGGUUCACAGCCCGGGUCAACAGGUGUUUGUCCAGGAUCUGGUCAGGAGACAAACAGACCAGCCGGUCUGGAUGGGAGGCUACGAUGCAGCUCAGGAGGGGAUGUGGCUGUGGAGUGACGGCUCAGCUGUUGACAGUUUCUACUGGGAGGAGGAUGAGCCCAGUAACUCUGGACAGGGGGAGAACUGUAUGGAGCUGCACACUGGAGGUGGGCAGGGCUGGAAUGACGUGGCCUGUGCAGAGCUGAGGUUCUAUGUGUGUUCUAUGGAGACAAG